rnacentral:tRNA from 1 species
GCCUUCGUAGUGUAAUGGUCAGCACACUCGGCGAGUAUUCGAGAGGUUCGAGUCCUGGCGACGGCA